rnacentral:lncRNA from 1 species
AUUUUAAUUUUGUGAAUACUGAUCAAAUUGAGAAUUUCAGUCCUGUGGUCCAAGAAACUGUGAACAUGGAUCAAGACGAUGGAGUUGUAGAGGAAGUCAUCUUCAUUCGUCCAGAUACUCCCACAACAGAAAUUAGAAGGAAAGGUUACUCUCUUAACCCUGAUGCAAAUUAUAUCCAAGCAGCAGGAAGCAAAAUCAUCCCCUCUUCUUACAUUGCCAAUAUGUUCAAUCCCCUAUUCAAAGAUAAAACAAAGCCUUUUACAAUGGACAGCACAAACCUCAUUAACAACAGAGGUGACCACAGAACUCCCACCACAAUUACAACAAAUGAUGCCAAAGCCAAAACAGAUGUUGAAAGAGCUGCUGUGUUUAAAACAGCCAAUUUCCAGAGUAAUAUCAUCCCUAUAGUUUCUGUCACUCACCCUGGAACUGUUGGGUCUGUUGAUUUUAGUGAAGACAGUGUAGCUGACAUGACCUCAGAUUCAAAGGUCACUAUCACUCUUUCAGAUAAAUCUACUGACUCUGUGGAUGAAAUCAUUAAUCUUUCUCAUAACAACAAGCAUGCCGAUGAUGCUGCAGGUCCCAACCCUGAAACAGACUUUCUUAUGUACAAAGGAUACACUUGUCUGUCAGUAGCAGAGUCAUCCACCCUAAUGCCCAGUGCUCAAAAUAAUCAAGCUCAAAACUCUCUGCUAAUUAAAGGUGACUCCUUGACUGAAGUUUGGGUAUCAGAUCCUGUGGCUAAAAAUCCUCAUGUCAAUGAUACCAUGAUACAAAAAUGGAAAAUCAAUAAAGUAUCAGAUCCUUUGAAAAUUCCACUGGAGUCUACUUCUCUUACAGCUGAUUUCACCUCUCCCAACGAUCAAUACAAUGCCACUGCCAAUGCAGGUAAGGGGACCACAAAUAGGACUGACAGCUCUGAACUGAUGAUUAACAAGGCCACCAUUCCAGAAGGAAGGCCCACCAUAGCCAUUACCCCACUGCCUGCAAAGACAGCUGUUAUUCUUACACCAAGAAAAAGAUUUGGAAGUUUCAUAGACAAAGAAAUGGCUAAUGAAGAAGAAUCAACCCCCUCCUCAGAAGUAAAGUCUGCAGGAAGAUGCAGAUAAAAGAACAUCUUCCACCUGCACAUAAUUUCAAGUACUUUGAAUCAGGAGAGAGUGGCUUUAAAAGGAAUGGAUUUGUGUCUGUUGACGCCACAAAGUCUCUUUCCC